CCCGAUAUCUUGGAGGGAAGACACACAGGCGAUGCUCUGCGACGCGCGGAAUCGUAUGUGUGUUCCCUCCUGGUUUUUGGACUCCUGGUUGUCACUUUGAGACACAAACAUGGCCCGAAAUAUGCAAUGGUGUAUGCCAAGACGUUAUAUAGAGGUGUAAUAUUAUGAAAAAAGUCUGAAAAGAGGAAAAA
rnacentral:misc_RNA from 1 species